rnacentral:rRNA from 1 species
UACGUAGGGACCGAGCGUUGUCCGGAAUCAUUGGGCGUAAAGAGCGUGUAGGCGGCCACUUAAGUCCUGCGUGAAAUCUUGCGGCUCAACCGCAAGCGGUCGUGGGAAACUGGGUGGCUAGAGUGCGGGAGAGGAGAGUGGAAUUCCUGGUGUAGCGGUGGAAUGCGCAGAUAUCAGGAGGAACACCUAUAGCGAAGGCAGCUCGCUGGGACGACACUGACGCUGAGACGCGAAAGCGUGGGGAGCGAACAGG